AGGCCAUGAUGGGGACACUUGCGUGGUAGCUCCUUGAACCUUUCCCAUGUUUCAUAUAAGGAUUCCCCGUCCUCUUGUGAGUAUGUAUUAAUUUCAGCCAUUAAUUU
rnacentral:snoRNA from 1 species